rnacentral:tRNA from 1 species
UCUCCGGGGGCGGCGGCCAGGAUGCCGGGCCGCUGCUGAAGCCAGCGGUGCGCUCCCCGGACCGUGUCCAGGUCGUCGAG